rnacentral:SRP_RNA from 1 species
GCUGGGCGCGGUGGUGCGUGCCUGUGGUCCCAGCUACUCAGGAGGCUGAGGCUGGAGGAUCCCUUGAAUCCAGGAGUUCUGGGCUGUAGUGCGCUAUGCCAAUUGGGUGUCCGCACUAAGUUCGGCCUCAAUAUGGUGACCUCCUGGGAGCAGCGGACCACCAGGUCACCUAAGGAGGGGUGAACCGGCUCAGGUCAGAAAUGGAGCAGGUCAAAACUCCCAUGCCGAUCAGUAGUGGGAACGUGCCUGUGAAUAGCCAUGGCACUCCAGCUUGGGCAACAUAGUGAGAUCCCAUCUCU